AACAGCUGUCCAAAUUGAAUGAGA
rnacentral:siRNA from 1 species